UCAAACUUGAGAUGGCACUGUGAGCUGUUGACAAUUGUGAUGCCAGCCACUACGACAUUUGAAGAACCAUAGAACCUCAAUGCCUGCAUCAGAGUUUAACCCGUGGCAUCCUUUCAAGCUCCUGAUUGUACUGCUGGAAUGUAUCCAAGGAGACCGUGAUUCCUCAGAAAGGAAAAAAAUAAAAGAAAAGCCGUACGAGCUUGGAGUAUGGACAUGUGAACAACAGAAGAAUCCAAAAAUACACAAAUAAAAAAUUUCCGGAAUGAAGCAUACACAAUUUAUUCACGAGCGGGGAGGAAUAGUUUCGGCACCAGAUUUUGUGGGGGAAACAAAUCGGCCAUGGUCCAAGAGAUCACGUGCAAUUAGACCGCCAGUAUGUCCAGUUUGGCAGCUAAUCCAAAAUCCAUAUGCCAUUAUGGAGGUUAUCGAGGUGAUGUGUUCUUCAUAUCGUAAGACCCACUCGUCAAUAGGACAUUUUCCCCCCAAGCUCUUAUAUGGAUGGUCAUUCUGCCGAUCGGCUUAAUAUGAGGACUCUACUAGAGCACAUGCAUCUCGCUGAAACAAUAUGCUUGUGUUAUGUUUGCGGCUCUAAGAAACAAUGAAGGAAGUAAUAAGUAAACAAGAAUGUCAUCUCAGGCAAAGCUAAGAGCUCACUUGCUUCCCAGAAUUUAGUACACAGAAUGCUUUACCCGGUAUCCUCGGUGGUUUUGCGCCCGUGUUCAAUGAUAGAGAGAGUUUGCUGUACGUUUAUUUAAUCUACUAGAAAGAGGAGUCAUCCCAGAUCCCCUCUCUUUUGUUUUUA